UGCUUGCACGGCGGCGGCCUUAAAACGCGCCAAAUGGCACCCUUUGUUUACGAGUACCGUUCGUUUCCUCGGUGGGCUUGCCUGCCAUGAGGACCAACAAAAACCUUUGUAGUAGCAGUAUCUUCAGUAAAAACAAAUAUUAAAACUUUCAACAACGGAUCUCUUGGUUCUGGCAUCGAUGAAGAACGCAGCGAAAUGCGAUAAGUAGUGUGAAUUGCGGAAUUCAGUGAAUCAUCGAAUCUUUGAACGCACAUUGCGCCCUUCGGUAUUCCGUUGGGCAUGCCUGUUCGAGCGUCAUUUAAUCAUUCAAGCUCUGCUUGGUGUUGGGUGUUUGUUCCGCCUCAGCGCGUGGACUCGCCUUAAAUUCAUUGGCAGCCGGUAUGUUGGCUUCGUGCGCAGCACAUUGCGUCGCGAUUCUGGCAGGCCUCCUCCCAUUAAGCUUCUUUUAAGUUUGACCUCGGAUCAGGUAGGGAUACCCGCUGAACUUAAGCAUAUCAAUAAGCGGAGGAAAAGAAACCAACAGGGAUUGCCCCAGUAACGGCGAGUGAAGCGGCAAUAGCUCAAAUUUGAAAUCUGGCUCUUUCAGGGUCCGAGUUGUAAUUUGCAGAGGGCGCUUUGGCGUCGGCAGCAGCCUAAGUUCCUUGGAACAGGUCAUCAUAGAGGGUGAGAAUCCCGUAUGUGGCUGCUUGUCUUCGCCGUGUAAAGCCCCUUCGAUGAGUCGAGUUGUUUGGGAAUGCAGCUCUAAAUGGGAGGUAAAUUUCUUCUAAUGCUAAAUAUUGGCCAGAGACCGAUAGCGCACAAGUAGAGUGAUUGAAAGAUGAAAAGCACUUUGGAAAGAGAGUCAAAAAGCACGUGAAAUUGUUGAAAGGGAAGCGCUUGCAGCCAGACGUGCCCGUAGUUGCUCAUCGGGGGUUCUCCCCCGUGUACUCUUCUAUGGGCAGGCCAGCAUCAGUCCGGGCGGUUGGAGAAAGA
rnacentral:rRNA from 1 species